GCAAUCAAAUCAAAUCUUUAAGUUAAAAAGCCAAAAAACCCUACCUCGCCUCCAUUUUUGUGUCCCCUUCCUUCUCCAUAUCCUUUGAUCUACUUCCCAUCACUGCUUAUCUCUCUCUGCUUCUUCUAUUUCAAACAAAUCGAACACUGCAACACACCGCGACGGUCGUUCCGAAGAUGAAUCUUAACUACAUCGCGAGAAGCUCUUCGAAUACCUUGAGAAAUUCAAUAGUUCCAAGAACAAAUCUCAGGUCAUUGUCUCCUCUAUAAUUUCAAUGUCUCUUCGUUUUUUUAUUUAGUGUUUUAGAUGGUGUUGUUGUUCAAGUUUUCUUUCAAUUAGGGUUUUGAACUGUCGUUUUUAGCACUCAGAUCUUUAGGGAUUUGUGUGUGUUGUUGUGAAGAAACACCUGCUUACUUGAUCUUCUACGGUUCUACUUUACACAAGAAAGUUUUUUGCCAACUAAUGAACUCUUUUUGCACAGGUGAUACUCUGAAUGCAUUGAAGAACAACAUGAAUUAUCCUAACAAUGUUCUUUAAUGUUGGCCAAGGAGGUCAAAAUGUUUUGGAGCUUUAUGAUUUUUAUCAUGUAGACCAAGAGAGGCUUUGUGUUUGCUGUCAAGGAGUCCAUUGUUUAGUUGAUUUGGUGCUAAAAGCUUCUUCCAAGACUAUAAGGGUAUUUAUUUAUUUGAUAAUUGGCUAAUCAAAGUCUUGCUUAUCUUUAUGGUAACGAAAAUACUUAAUUCAAGAAUCCAUUGUGACACAAAUGGUGUCAAUGAACUAAAGGGGAAGUGUUAGUCCUCUCCUAUUACAGUAGACAUAGCAUAUGAUCUUUAAAACAUGUUUCGGAAGCUUGAAAGAGUAAUUACUAAGGUUAAAGUAGUUAGAUUUGGAAAUUAGCUUGAAAUUAUUUUAGCCAAAGCAAAGUAAUAGCAUUCCUUGCUUUGCAAAAAUUAUAACAACGUAACUAUAGUUUUAAGUUGGCAUAUAAACAACUGCAUAUUCCUAACUUCGUGUAAUAGUUUACAAUGAUUUGGUUUCAUUGCUAGUAAUUAAUAGGUUAUUAAUAUGAAGGUACUGAAGUUGUGGUAAUUAUAUAUGUAGAUUAUUAUUCAAAUAUCAAUCUGAAUGAAGCUAUUGAUUUGUUAAGGUUUGUGUUUACUAAUCUUUGAUCUCUUGCUCAUGUUGCGUCUAUGAUUAUUUCUAAUACAAGGCAUNNNNNNNNNGUUGGCUCUGUUUUCGCUGCUAUUUCCUUUUUUCCUUUCAUUGUUUUCUGAUAUUUGUACCUGGGACUUUUGUCUGUUUAUUGUCUGUUCGGGUGCUGGUUUUGAGGCUCGUAGCAGUAAGGUUUUUUAUCCUAGCAGGUGCUGUUGGUUUAUGGUAGUAGUAGUCGUUUUGGUUUUUUAAGACUUAUGGUUUUCUUUUGUAGUUUUGUUGGCUUACUGCUAGUGCAAUGUUCAUGUAAUAUUUCGCAGUCCUCUGGUUACACCUUGUGAAUGGAGUUAGGCAUAACUAGUAGUAUAAUUAGUAGUAGGUGUUCUUACUUAAAAUAUGAUAUAUGAUUUAACUAAUGAACAUUACAGUCAUGAGCAAAUCAAUUAUUAGGGAACUUCAAUUGGGUUUGAAAACUGAAAAGUAGUCUAUAAUUUGGUUUUGUGGUAGCAUGCCAUUUUUUAUUGAUUUNN
rnacentral:lncRNA from 1 species